GUCAAAGACCAGCUUUGUCACUGUCAGCAUGCCCUUGGCUACACAACACACCACCACCAUCAGUUUCUACACAAUUCAUACAUUUAAAGAGAGUAAGAGAGUUUGAUACAUGACAAUGUACACGUGAGAGUACAAAUCAGAAAUACAGCUGCCUACACUGUGUUGCAUCGCUAUCAGAUGGACAGUAAGGGCACUUGAAGAUUUUAGAGCUGUUCUUUGACAUCUUAUUGAUGGAUUGUUUGCACAGCACGUGACCACAAGACAUCAACAUUGGGGGAUUCUCAUCAGUGGAUGGCUCCUUCGACACUGGGCAUACAAAGAUGGAAUGGAACUGAAACUCUUUAUCCAGCUCCACUGGCACUGGCAACUGCUUCAUUGAAUGCCACUCCUGUUUCUUUCCUGCCAUCACAGUCAUAAACUUCAAAAGUGGUGGUAAACCUUGAAAACCUGCUGCUAUUGUCACACUCAAUGGGCUUUCAAAAGCCAGCCCCAGAAGAUUGCAGAAUUGCCUGGUUAGCUCAUCAGCAAUUGUGUUCCAAUUAUCCGGGGACUGUAAUUCAGAGUAUGGGGAGCAAUCAAGCUUUCCAGCCCAUAGGAGACAACCCAUGAGCUUCUGAAUUUCACCCAGAUGGGUGGAUGCAGCAAAAGGAGUAAUAUUAGUUCUUGCAUAUGCAAGAGCUUCACUUCUACUUCCAUUUUGCAGUAUUUCCAUAAACUGCAGGCGAUGAAGUUUCAGCUGAAGAUCUGAACCAUUUUUUUUAAGUUUAUCAGAGUUGGCAGCAGCCCACCUUAAUGCAGGCUCUAGGUUUCGAUCCUUCAUAGCCUCUACUAUCAUAUACAUUUCGGAGAACAGGGAUCUCAUAGCAAUAGUAGAUUCUAGCUCCUCGGCCUCAUUUACAAAGCAGUCACCAAUACUUAACAAGCCAUGUCGGUAAAAAUGGCUUGCAAUGAUCUGGUUGAUGGUGUGGUUAUCAAAGUCAAUGUUUCUGUAAGCCUUGGAAAUAUCUGGGUUGAAAGAUUUCUCUAACUGCUUUGGGUACUUGCUCAAGGCUAUAUUCAGUUCCUUCUGUGCGCCUUCCAGCUGACUGAGAGGUGAAAUUUCUUGCAGCUUUUUAUUAAGCUCGGGAAGAACAGAUGUAUAGUUGAAUUCAGAGCCAGAAUGUUCAGACCGUAUUAUUUCCACUGCAUUUUCAAUUUCUUGCAUGAUCUGGUCAAU
rnacentral:misc_RNA from 1 species